rnacentral:rRNA from 1 species
CUACGUGCCAGCAGCCGCGGUAAUACGGAGGGUGCGAGCGUUAAUCGGAAUAACUGGGCGUAAAGGGCACGCAGGCGGUGACUUAAGUGAGGUGUGAAAGCCCCGGGCUUAACCUGGGAAUUGCAUUUCAUACUGGGUCGCUAGAGUACUUUAGGGAGGGGUAGAAUUCCACGUGUAGCGGUGAAAUGCGUAGAGAUGUGGAGGAAUACCGAAGGUGAAGGCAGCCCCUUGGGAAUGUACUGACGCUCAUGUGCGAAAGCGUGGGGAGCAAACAGGAUUAGAUACCCUGGUAGUCCACGCUGUAAACGAUGUCGAUUUGGGGGUUGAACUUUAAGUUUGGCGCCCGUAGCUAACGUGAUAAAUCGACCGCCUGGGGAGUACGGCCGCAAGGUUAAAACUCAAAUGAAUUGACGGGGGCCCGCACAAGCGGUGGAGCAUGUGGUUUAAUUCGAUGCAACGCGAAGAACCUUACCUACUCUUGACAUCCAGAGAACAUUC